rnacentral:rRNA from 1 species
UACGUAGGGUGCGAGCGUUGUCCGGAAUUAUUGGGCGUAAAGAGCUCGUAGGCGGUUUGUUGCUUCGGCCGUGAAAACCUGCAGCUUAACUGUGGGCCUGCGGCCGAUACGGGCAGACUUGAGUUCGGUAGGGGAGACUGGAAUUCCUGGUGUAGCGGUGAAAUGCGCAGAUAUCAGGAGGAACACCGGUGGCGAAGGCGGGUCUCUGGGCCGAUACUGACGCUGAGGAGCGAAAGCGUGGGGAGCGAACAGG